CCUUAUUUAGUCCUGUCACAUUCCAAAGUUUCCACCCUCUAAGUGUGCCACAAUAGGGAUUCAGUUUUAAUACAUGCUCCUUUGGGGUCACAUUCAAACCACCUCUGAACCACAGUAGAAAGUAUCUUCUUCUAAGAUUGAUGGUGUUAGUCAAGAUUGGCAGUGACAUGGAGGACAAGUCCCUAAAUGGCCUGUAAGGUGGGCUCUAGUAUGGAGUGGCCACAGCCAGGUCAGAAGCGCAGUUGAUUAGGCUACAGUGACUUCAUCCCAGGAACCCGUGUUUUAGGAGAUCCUGUGGGUAGUUGAUGUCAUCAGCUGCCCACCACCGGAAAGCAAGGCAAGGGCAGUGAAGUGGUUUUUUUUCCUCAUUACUCAUUACCUUUCUUUUCCAUUUUGGGCCAUUUAGACUCUACAAUGAGGUAAGAGACACCUGGGAUGUGUGAAGAGGUAACUCCCACCUUAGCCCUUGUCCUGCCGCACCGUUUCUCCUCCUGCUCUUCCCUGGCAGAAUAGCCUCUGAGGAAUCUCUGGGGAGUGGAGGAAUAAGAAGGAAUAUUAUAAUUACAUAUCUAUUUCUUGAAGCACACAGCAUUUGCCUUUCAGCCAAAUUGCCUCUUCUGGGUCGGGGAUACCUUUUAGUGGGACAAAUUACGCGCUCAACAAAACCCCAUUAACUGUAUAAAAUCCACCCUGGUUUUCUCAUCAGAGAGAAUAUCACUUGUCAUUUUCAGGUCCUCUUUGGACAGGAGUACUGUUGUGAUUUCAUGGGUGCAGCUUCUCUGUCUUACGUAUCCCACAGCAGAUGUCCUGAUAUUCUGGUCCUUCCAGUCCUUCCACCCCCUCUGCCACAAUGUUGUAGAUGUACCAGCUGGGAACGGGAACCACUCAGUCAGUUGCUCUUUGCGUUUUUUGACCAGUUGUUGCUCUACGUCCGCUGCUCAAAGAGGCGUCUUUGAUGAUGGGUGAGAAACGCACUCUUAUCUGCAGGUAUAAGAAGGAGUCCUUCAAACACAGAAAUGAUGCUGGCUUAGGAAGGUGGCAGUAAUAGGUUUUUCUGUAGGUCCCAAGGCCGCACCAGCCAUCCACAGUUGUGUGGGUUACAGUACCAGGCAUGAGGUCCCUUCCAUGGAGGUGGCCAUUUGUUAUCCCCAGUGUUUAAGUGCUACUAUUGCACUUUUUGGGAUAGCUUGUCAUUGCGGCCAUUGUUUUGGUUUGUAACUGUUACAGCUGGAUAGGAGUAUUGAUUGCUUUUUUUUUUUAAAGCCAGAAAGUACAGUGAAAGCUAGUACUUAGUGAAAGCUAGUACUUAGUGGGGAAUCUUCUAGGUCAUGUGUAGCUCUGUUUCUUCAAGCCCUGUGCCUGAAACAUGAGGUGCCUUCAGCAGUAGGGUUUUACUUCCAUUUGCUGGAAUGCAACCUAGGGAAGUGGAAGUAGCCUAUAUGACUUUGGGAGUUCCUUACAUGCCCUGACCAACAACUGUAAAGGAGGAUUCCCAUGCUUGGUGCUGGGAUUUUUGUUAGGAAGUCUAUGAUGAUGGUUUUUGUGGGGUGUGUCAUCCCAACUGGUAUAACUUCAAUUAAGUUUUAUAUGUACAUGUAUGCACAUACUCAUAUAUAUUGUAGGUUAUUUCCAUUACACAUAAAGUAAUAUAACUCCAUGUGGCUGUAAAAAACAUCCUUAGUGUUAUCGACCCCUGUUCCUUACCCUACCCUUCUCCAGAGUUCCUGCACCUUCCCCAAUAUGGUUCCCUUUUACUUUCUUUAUAUUUGUGGUUAUUGUAGGUUAUAUACUCACAUAUAGUCAGAGCUAGGAUGGAAUUGUCCUGACAAUGGUUUAGAAAGCUUGGUCAUUCUUCUUUAUAGAACUAUAAAUAAGAAAGUAAAUAUAUUCUUGUCAGGUACUUAGAGUUGGAUAUAAGAAGAAGAUACAUUAUUUUUAGUUUAGGCUAAAGAUUAGGAGAAUAAUGUUGUUAGGAGGAAUUGGAAUUCAUGAGUUGGCUGAUUUUUCGAGUAAUUGGAAUUUAUGGAAUGGUUUCCAUUCCAGAUGCCGUAUUCGGCCAUGGAGACAAAAAGAUGCCAAGGUUCUUGCUCUGCAAAUGCCACCAGUCUCUAGAAGAAGGCAUGGAGACAAAUUAAUGCCGCAUUAUGACAAGUCAUCCAGUCAAGACAGGUCUAUUGAAAAGAGAACUUUUCUUCAUGAGGGGUGAGGGGCACACUUACCUAAGUGUCUGUACAAAAACCCAAGAAGCAGGACAGUCCAGUGGAGAGAGCCUGGAUCUUGGGGUCAGAAAGGCCUGAAGUCAAAUUGCCACUUGACUACUAGCUACCAUGAUAAACGCUAGAUCUGGAAGUUUAAAAUGCAGAACAACCAUCAGUCAGUGUUUGUAAACCCUGAGACCACUUGUUACUUAUUUUGAAGUUUCACCCUAUCUGGACGCUUUAAAAAGAAAACCUGGCUCACAGCCAGGAAGCUGCAGCAUUGCUGUCAACAGGAAGGGUUCACCGGUCUGAGAACAUGCGGGGCAUCUGCCGGAAGUGACUUCUUUCAGGACAGCCUUGCAGUGCUGAGGGGCCAGCUCUGGCUUACUGGCCCCAAGGUAUCAUGGUUCUACAAGCAUUGUGGAGCAGAGCCCAGAAGACCUUUGACUGCAGCCGAAUGGCCAUGCUUCUAGGAUGUUCUAACAGCUCUCCCACGCUCAUCUGCCACAGCUAGGAGUUAUUAUCACCAUUAUUACCACACCAUCUCCAUGUGAUGGAGUGGAGCCCCUGAAAUGCGAGCCCAGAUGAGUCCUUUGACCUUUAGUUCCUUUUUUUUUUUUUAGGUAUUUGUCACAGUGAUAAAAAAGGAACAAAUGUUACCCAAUUUUGUCUGUACAGACAGACACCUGACCUUGAAUUAUGACAGCUGAUUAUUGUAAGCUUAAUCCAGUAAUGGUUUUUAUUGCAAGCACUGUAUCAGAUGUGGUUCAUUGUCAUUGUUUCUUGUUUCUCAGCAGAUUAAAUCUUCCUGGCACCUGGUAUACAGCUAUUGAUCUAGCAAAUACUUUCUUGUUCUAUGUCUGUAAGUCCUGCAGGAAGCAAUCUGUUUUUACCUAGCAAGGCCGGCAAUAUACUUUUAUUGUUCCACCUCAAGGGUAUUUUAACUCUCCAACCCUGUGUCAUAAGUUAGUUCUGAGGGAUAUUAAUCAUGUCUCUUUUAUACUGUUUCACACUGGUCUGUUAUGGUAAUGAUAUUAUGCUGUUGAACGAACGUCCUUGGAUUUGUUGAUGAAAUGUUUAUGUCUCAGAGAACAGUAAAUAAGUCUAUUAAUAGUACACAAGUGGGCUUCUGCAUCAGUAAAAUUCCUAGGUGCCCAGUGAUGCAAGGAAUCCUUUAAAAUUUUUUUAAUUAAAAUUUAAAUUUUAUGUGUAUAUGCA